AUAUCUUUUCUUUUUUUUUUUUUUUACAGGUUGUUCUCAAAGAGUCUAAACCCGUUGAGCUGUUGGCCUGUCAUUGCUCAUGUGUGGCAGGGCUUGCACUAUGCAAAACCUAGAACCCAGGGCUUUAAGCCUGGUCCAACAAAUGAGAUUGUGGUGUUGUCAGCUAGGCCCAAGGAGAGAAGAUUGGCUGAAGGGAUCAGGAGUAACCUGUGACCAGACUGCAUGUGAAUGAGAUUUACAGAGGAAUGCCAAGGGAAACUGCUCCACCCACAACAACAAUGGGAAUAGCAUUUAUUGAAUUGUUUAUUCAAAGAAUAUUCAGAGACAGGAGAAUCAUAAAAACAAUCAAACAAAAGGUUGAUUACGUUUACUUUUACCUACCUAUGCUUUUGGCUUGAAAAUUUCCUAGGUUAACUUUCAAUCCGUUUUCUUACGAAGUUCAAAUAGUUUGGUUUUCAUUACAUUUCUGAGCAGUUUUCAUGUGCUCACUAUUGUCAUCUGCCACAAAUAUAUUCUAAUAGAAAAGAAUUCUAGUAUACAAUGUAUACAAAUUAUGUUAUGUAGUUGAACAUGUCAUCAUUCAUUUAUAAAUUACAUAUUUUCCUAUAAAUGUUAUUUAUGUGAGUGUUUGAGGUUAUAUCUCAUUAGUACCUAAAAUAGCAUUGUUUAAAUGCUGUUUGUAAUGGCCACAAUAAAAUACACAAAGCUUUGGGGAGCCAUUUAAAAAAGGCAGUUACACACAAAUGUAGGUUUAUUCACUGGAAGCAUGAAACUGAAAAUGAGGGAAAAAUACAGAUCCCUGUAUGAAGUUGUAGAGAUGUAAAUCCAUUCUUUAUAUGAACAAAACAGUAGCUAACAACAGUAAAAUAGUUUAAAUACUAAACAGAACUGCGAACUGGUCUUGAUGCAUCUAAAGCUUUUACAAGAGGGCCACUCUGGUAAUUUAACAGAAGGCAUGCAACUACUUUGAGCUGGUUAAUGUUACCAAAAAUUUAGUCAUGUCAACCCUGUCAAAGAAUUUGUGUUCCUUUAAACGGCGAAUAAGGAGCUCAACAUGCACUCUCAGAUGUGCAAUAGCCUGGGUCUCCCUGACCUCCCUGAACUCUCCCAGAAAGAAAUGCAGGCCUGUACACUUUACAGGGCACACAGCAGGUGCGUCGUUAAAAAAAAUUGAAUUUAUUGAUAAUUAUUAUUAUUUUUUAAUAAUUUUGUAUUUAUUUAAAAAAAUGUACCGGGUCUUUUAAUCUAUCCUUCGGAAUCAUGUAUUAAAGACGAUUAAAGGGGUCAUGACAUGAGAAACCAAAUUUGCCUUGAUCUUUUGGUAUAUAAGAGGUCUUUGUAUCAUUAAAACGUCCUGCAAAUUUAAUAUUUUAAGACGUCCUCCCCAUUCUAAACGAAUCAUUUAUUUAAUCAAGCUCAAAAUACAGCUCGUUCUGGAUUCAUGGUUAGAAGUGACGUGUCGGUUAGAAGUGACGUAACAGCGUUUGCAUAUGACCGCCUCCAGCACAAGAUAACUACGCUUUAAGCGCA